AGCAUGGCAUUGUGGGAUGUCCUAGGACCAUGGCUGGCAGCGAGUGGGAGUCAGGGAGAGCUUUGCAACAGAGACGUGGCGGGAUUUGGCUACAGCGGGAAGGCUUUGGGUUAAACUUGGAAAACUGAGGGCGGCCAUGUAGUCCCCUUCUGGAAGGGCUUUGUACCUGGGCCAUUCCGAGCUGCGUGACCGGGAUGCUCGCUCUGUGGCUGCCACCACUGCCUCCCUGGGGGGCCCUCGAGCAAACACCGUCCUGGAGCGUGUGGAGGGCGCUCAGCAGCGGUGGAAGCUGCAGGUGCAGGAGCAGCGCAAGACAGUCUUCGAUCGGCACAAGAUGCUCAGCUAGAAAAGGUGUUGUCUGCCGAUGGAAUCUGGGAAGAGUGGUGGGGUCCCUGAUCUUGGGUUUGCCUGCUCCAGUCUUCGGGCUUGAGGGGAGGCGGUGGCAGGCCAGAACGGAGUGGAGACGCUUCAGGUGGCCUCAGGAUUGGAACAGUCUGUACCUCCUUACUUCACCCCGACACCCCUUCAGCUCCAAAUCUUGGGAGUGUCCUUACCCUUUGCAAGAUGGAGCCGGGUCAUCAAGAACUCAGUGUGUGGGAGGGAAGCAGUCAGCAUGUGCCCCUUCUCUGCCUGGUUCUUCUGGCCACCUUCCUCCCGGCCCUGAUACCUCAGCCCCAGCUCAGCCUGCUUCCAGCCCUCAGGACGGCUCUGAUGGGGCAGCUGAUGCCACUGAGCUGCCCUGUCUUCAGGGCACACCCAGACACUUGUCCCCCCCCCCCACACCCUUCCACCAGCGUACAGCAGUGUCGCUGCGCCUCGCUCCCUGUGGCCCCUGGCCCCUCACUCCCACCUCAGGGGGCCAGGCCGUCCCCCCGCCUCCCCAGGUCUGCAGUCGCUGAGCCACACAGUUGGUGGGACCACGUGACCAGGAGGCCGAGCAGCGGGUCUGAAUACCACGGCGCCUGUCCUGGGAUUGUCGCUCGGCUCUCAUUCAUUGUACCAGUGCAUGGAGAGAAACGUUUGUCCUUCCGUUGUCUGUAGACCAAGGAAGCCAUCAUUAAAUUGUCUGAUUUCUCUCA